UCUUUAUCUUCUUCUUUUUUU
rnacentral:sRNA from 1 species